UACGUAGGGUCCGAGCGUUGUCCGGAAUUAUUGGGCGUAAAGGGCUCGUAGGCGGUUUGUCACGUCGGGCGUGAAAACUCAGGGCUCAACCCUGAGCGUGCGUCCGAUACGGGCAGACUAGAGGUAUGCAGGGGAGAACGGAAUUCCUGGUGUAGCGGUGGAAUGCGUAGAUAUCAGGAAGAACACCGGUGGCGAAGGCGGUGGUCUGGGCCGAAACUGACGCUGAGGAGCGAAAGCCAGGGGAGCAAACGGG
rnacentral:rRNA from 1 species